GAUGAACGCUGGCGGCGUGCCUAAUACAUGCAAGUCGAGCGAACAGACGAGGAGCUUGCUCCUCUGACGUUAGCGGCGGACGGGUGAGUAACACGUGGAUAACCUACCUAUAAGACUGGGAUAACUUCGGGAAACCGGAGCUAAUACCGGAUAAUAUAUUGAACCGCAUGGUUCAAUAGUGAAAGACGGUUUUGCUGUCACUUAUAGAUGGAUCCGCGCCGCAUUAGCUAGUUGGUAAGGUAACGGCUUACCAAGGCAACGAUGCGUAGCCGACCUGAGAGAGUGAUCGGCCACACUGGAACUGAGACACGGUCAAGACUCCUAAGGGAGGCAGCAGUAGGGAAUCUUCCGCAAUGGGCGAAAGCUUGACGGAGCAACGCCGAGUGAGUGAUGAAGGUCUUCGGAUCGUAAAACUCUGUUAUUAGGGAAGAACAAAUGUGUAAGUAACUAUGCACGUCUUGACGGUACCUAAUCAGAAAGCCACGGCUAACUACGUG
rnacentral:rRNA from 1 species